rnacentral:rRNA from 1 species
CAUGUCCUUUUGAAUAUAAUUUAAGGUCUAAUCUGCUCAAUGAGGAGUUAAAUUGCCGCGGUAUUAUGACCGUGCGAAGGUAGCAUAAUAAUUAGCUUUUUUAUUGAAAGCUGGAAUGAAUGAUUGGACGAGAAAACAUCUGUCUCUAUAAAAUUUUUUUUUGAAUUUAACUUUUAAGUAAAAAGGCUUAAAUUUUUUAGAAAGACGAGAAGACCCUAUAGAGUUUAAUAUUCUGUUUGUUAAAAGGUUUUUGGUAUUUAUUUCUUUUAUUUUUUAGAUUAUUUGGUUGGGGUGACUGGAAGAAAUGAUUAACUCUUCUAUGAUUUAAUUACUGAUUUGUAAAUAGUUGUUCUGGAUUUACCAAGUUUAAUAUAAAUUACCUUAGGGAUAACAGCGUAAUUUCCUUUAAGAGUUCUUAUUUAAAGGGGAGUUUGCGACCUCGAUGUUGGAUUAAAAUUAAUAUUGGGUGCAGUAGCUCAAUUAUUAGGUCUGUUCGACCUUUAAAAUUUUACAUGAUCUGAGU